CCGUUCUCGUGUUAUUUACUGGACUUAACCGUAGUCCAGCGAUUGUCAAAGAGAACGCAUAUUAAAGCAACUAAUCACUCCAUAAUGAUGGGUCCAUUUUAACCAGGGCCUCCUCAUUACUAAAUGUUUGCUACAUCU